rnacentral:rRNA from 1 species
UACGGGGGGGGCAAGCGUUGUUCGGAAUUACUGGGCGUAAAGAGCGUGUAGGCGGUCCGGUAAGUCCGCUGUGAAAGUCGGGGGCUCAACCCUCGAAUGCCGGUGGAUACUGUCGGGCUAGAGUGCGGAAGAGGCGAGUGGAAUUCCUGGUGUAGCGGUGAAAUGCGCAGAUAUCAGGAGGAACACCUAUUGCGAAGGCAGCUCGCUGGGACGUAACUGACGCUGAGACGCGAAAGCGUGGGGAGCAAACAGG